GAUCCUGGCUCAGGAUGAACGCUAGCGGCAGGCCUAAUACAUGCAAGUCGUACGGUAAAGUCCCCUUCGGGGGAUUGAGAGUGGCGGACGGGUGCGUAACGCGUAUGCAACCCACCCCCGACGGGCGGAUAGCCGGUGGAAACGCCGGAUAACCCGCCAUGCGGCCCCACAGGGGCAUCCCUGUGGAGUCAAAGCGGCGACGCGGUCGGGGACGGGCAUGCCGUCCCAUUAGAUGGUUGGCGGUGCAAUGGACCACCAAGUCUACGAUGGGUAGGGGAUCUGAGAGGACCGGUCCCCCACACUGGUACUGAGACACGGACCAGACUCCUGCGGGAGGCAGCAGGUAAGGGAUAGUUGGGCAAGUGGGGGCAACCCUGACCCAGCCAUGCCGCGUGAGGGAAUGAGGCCCUACGGGUCGUGAACCUCUUUUGUCCGGGGACAAGGCAUCCCACGCGAUGGGAUGUUGAGGGUACCGGGAGAAUAAGCGUCGGCUAACUCCGUGCCAGCAGCCGC
rnacentral:rRNA from 1 species